UUCCAGUGUAGAGAUGAGGAAACUGGCCAGU
rnacentral:piRNA from 1 species